AUUAUUUAAAGGUAUUUCAAAAUAUUAUUUACUUCAUUCUAGUAAUUAGUGUACAGGUAAAAACUGUUCACUACAUUGUAUGUUUUUACUAUUGAUAAAUAACUGAUCGACAGGUGUAGUUGUGUCUCAGUUUUGUCAACAAGAAUAUUUGAAGAUUUAAGGUAGAUCUAUGUGUUUUUCCUACUAGAGGAUGAUAUUUUGAGGUGAAAUUGUCUACCAUUUCCUUAUUUAGGGUAUGUAUAUUGAAUUGUAAUUAUGUGCCCUUGAUUGAUAUUAUGAUUAUGUUUAGUUAAUUUUUGAUAUUUCUAAUUGAAACAUUAUUGAUUAUUCAUAAAAAAAAUGUUGUUUACUUUGAAGACUUUCUCUUGUGUUCAUAUUUUGAUUUGAGAAAUGUUAAGAAUUGUAAUAUUCAGAAGGGAGAUAAUCGUGUUCUUAUAGCUUUUAUAUAGCUUUGGAUAAAUUAAUGGUUCUGAUGUAUUUAAUUGAUAUUUGAAAAAGCAAUCUUUAUUUCAAGUUAAAUUUAAUUGAAUUUAUAUCUGCAUAUUAAUAGACUUAUGAUGUUUUGUGUUUUUCCAUUUUUUUCACAAAUAUUGAACUAUUCAGCGUUGCCAAUAAUUAAUGUUAUUUUUCGAUAUAUGUAUAAUGUGAAUAUAUGAAUACAGUACAAUAAAUUCAUGAACCUUA